ACACUUGCAGAGGAGAAAUGAUGAUGCAGGGGCCUGCUCCGAGAUGCAGGAGGAAGUUUAAUUGCCUGUGAAUUUCACUGGGAAGGAAGGGAUGAAACGAGGUUUGAAAGGAAAUAGAGAUUGUUAAACUCCUGACUAGGCGAUAACUGCCGUCCUUCUCUUCUAUCUGCCCCUGUGACUAGGCGGUAACUGCCGUCCUUCUCUAAUAUCUGCCCCUGUGACCAGGCGAUAACUGCCGUCCUUCUCUAAUAUCUGCCCCUGUGACUAGGCGAUAACUGCCGUCCUUCUCUAAUAUCUGCCCCUGUGACUAGGCGAUAACUGCCAUCCUUCUCUUCCAUCUGCCCCUGUGACUAGGCGAUAACUGCCGUCCUUCUCUGCUGUCUGCCCCUACCUUGGGCCCCAAAUGGCUCAGCACUAAAGUGCCUUGAGCAGGCUCCAGCCCAAAGGUGGCCUCCAUGGUUACCACUUCCCACUCUGCUGCCCUGCCUCGCUUUCCUCCUCGGCCUUCCCGGAUGGAUGACCGAUGUCAUUCCCAGGUUCCCUAACACUCAAGCCUAGCCCCUCAGUUUCUAGCAAGCAUCAAGCUUCACUGUGUGUCUAGCCUCUCAGGAGUCAGACCUGAGAAGUAUAGCUUGGUGGAAAUUCAGUGGCAGGGAAGAAAGAAGGAAGGAAAGAAGACUCUGAGCUGGAUUCAUACACAUCAUCGCAAUUCAUCCACACCACAGUCCUGUAAGAAGGCUGCAAAACAUACAGCAGAAAGGAUGGCUUGAAGGCAAUUGAUGUUUGUAAAAAAAUCCACAACAGGAUCCAAGCUGAAGAGGUGAACACGUCAGCCUGGUGGGACAAUUCUCAGCAUGUGCAAACAUAGGUAAAUUCUAGCCUAUGUUACAUUAAAAACAAUGUCAGUGCAUUUUUUCAUGUUAAAGUUUUUUUCAAAGCUAAAGUGUGUUCCUUGUUGUGCUGACCACAAACGAGUUUUAA
rnacentral:lncRNA from 1 species